CCUACGGGGUGCAGCAGUGAGGAAUAUUGGUCAAUGGACGAGAGUCUGAACCAGCCAAGUAGCGUGAAGGAUGACUGCCCUAUGGGUUGUAAACCUCUUUUGUCGGGGAGCAAAAGCCGGACGUGUCCGGCUGUGAGAGUACCCGAAGAAAAAGCAUCGGCUACCUCCGUGCCAGCAGCCGCGGUAAUCCGGAGGAUGCGAGCGUUAUCCGGAUUUAUUGGGUUUAAAGGGUGCGCAGGUGGAUUGUUAAGUCAGCGGUCAACUCGUGGGGCUCAACCCCAUCCAGCCGUUGAAACUGGGGAUCUAGAGUGUGCGAGAGGUAUGCGGAAUGCGUGGUGUAGCGGUGAAAUGCAUAGAUAUCACGCAGAACCCCGAUUGCGAAGGCAGCAGACCGGUGCACAACUGACGCUCAGGCACGAAAGCGUGGGUAUCGAACAGGAUUAGAUACCCCAGUAGUC
rnacentral:rRNA from 1 species